rnacentral:rRNA from 1 species
UGGGGAAUCUUCCGCAAUGGACGAAAGUCUGACGGAGCAACGCCGCGUGAACGAUGACGGCCUUCGGGUUGUAAAGUUCUGUUAUACGGGACGAAUGGUACGACGGCCAAUACCCGUCGUAAGUGACGGUACCGUAAGAGAAAGCCACGGCUAACUACGUGCCAGCAGCCGCGGUAAUACGUAGGUGGCAAGCGUUGUCCGGAAUUAUUGGGCGUAAAGGGCGCGCAGGCGGCGUCGUAAGUCGGUCUUAAAAGUGCGGGGCUUAACCCCGUGAGGGGACCGAAACUGCGAUGCUAGAGUAUCGGAGAGGAAAGCGGAAUUCCUAGUGUAGCGGUGAAAUGCGUAGAUAUUAGGAGGAACACCAGUGGCGAAAGCGGCUUUCUGGACGACAACUGACGCUGAGGCGCGAAAGCCAGGGGAGCAAACGGGAUUAGAUACCCCGGUAGUCCUGGCCGUAAACGAUGGAUACUAGGUGUUAGGAGGUUUCCGCCUCUUAGUGCCGAAGCUAACGCAUUAAGUGUUCCGCCUGGGGAGUACGACCGCAAGGUUG